rnacentral:lncRNA from 1 species
UCUGAGUGGGUUUUGUCCAAUUUCCAUAACUUCAAUUAUAAAACCCUAAUAAGUGGUGAAAGAAUCUCAUAUCAACAUUAGCUCAUUUCAUAAAUCUCAAUUUGUGGGUAAACUUUUCCAUCAAUGCUAUACAUUAAGUCAUGUGUCAUCUUGUGCUUCUGUCUGGAGGUUUCAUCUUCUUGUAUUUUUCCUUGUUUUCUACACAUUCAAAUUGUUGCUAACAAUCCAUUUGCUUUCUUAUCUUCAAUCUCUCCACAUGAAUAUUUUAG